CUUAAAUGACACAGCUACCAUGUAGGAAUAAGCAGCUUCCCAGUGUCUGCUCCUCCCCACCCACAGCUGCAGCAGGAGACCUAGACUGGGACCCUCUGCAGGAGACAAAGCCAGAGCUGGAGGGACACAGAAAGGUUUACAGGUUCUACCUCCAAGACCCUGGGACAGAGCUGAGAUGCCUUCACUCCCCACCAUGGCCACACUGACCACCAGACUGCAAACCAGGGGCCACAUCCGGGAAGCUGCUUGCACGGGUUGUUCCUAAGUGAGUGGACACCUGCCUUUUUCACUAAACCCCGGUCACUGAAGAUGCAGGGAUGGCGCUGAGUGGGCAGACCUCACAGCAGCCUGGGAGUAACAGGAGUGAUGGUGUGGUCACAAUCGAGCUCUUCAAAAACUAGUUGUGCAAGACACUCUUCCGAGAGAAGCGACAAGGAGAAGCCUAAAGAGAGAAAACGACCUCCACAAGCUUUCCUUCCAGUUACUAUUUCUUCAUGAGUAUGCAGGUAGAUAUAUUGGUACAAAUGCAUAGAUACACGGGUACAUAGAUACAGAAAUAUGUGCUGUCAUAGAUUAUUUAAUAAAAUCUGCUAUAAAUACACAGUUUAGAAAAAUUUAAAAGCAUGGUAAGAAAUAAACGGCUCCAAUUAACUCACAGUUCACACAAAGUAACUCUAAAGUAUUUGAUUUGUACAUACAAAAAUAAAGUAUAUAUUUCUAUAUUAUUUCUAUUAACAUUUUUGCUAGAAAUUGUGAAUAUACUAUAAGUACUUUUUCUUGUGUGGAUAUGUUACUGUAUUACUUUUUAAUAUACAGGGUAGCUUAUUUUCAACAUAUUAAAUAUGCUUUUACAACAUGACUUUGCUGUUUUAUGCUAGUCUACUUUGGGUAUCUCAAUACAUUUGAAAUAAAUAUUCUAGAGGCUGGGGAUUUAGCUCAGCUGCAAAAGCGCCUGCCUGGCAAGUGCAAGGUCGUGAGUUCGGUUCCCGGUACCGGAGGAAAAAAAAAAAAAAAGAAAUAAAUAUUCUAUUAUGGGGCAUAGCUAUUUAUAAUCAAUAUACAACUUGAGGUUAUCUUCACUGAAAAGUCUGUUCUCAUCUCCAGCCCAUUUGUUAUAUGAAGUUCCCAAUAGAGCUGCAAAGCCCUCUCAGGGGCGUUGGGCACAGCUUGCAACGGCACCGGAAGGCGUCGCCGGAAGCCGGUGGCCGGAAGCCCUUCACUGGAAGCCUCUCCUACGCUCCUUGAAGGCGUCGCCACUUUCCUGCAGGGGGCGCUGUGCGCAGCAGCUGCUGCUACCUUGCCGCCUCCUGUUUUCUGUGCUGGAGAAUUUGAGUGAAAGCUAGCCAAAGCGAUUUAGGCUUCUCACGCGUAUGUUUUACUGUCCUUGUGUUGGUUUCUUACAGUUAUUCUAAUUAUUGUAAAAGCCGCGACCUAGUCAGGCUCUUAGUCGCAGUAAAGCUGCAUGGGCUGCAGAUGCUUCACCCUGGCCGCUGCUUCCUCCCCAGGCCCUGCCCUGGUUCCCGGCGUUCACAAGCGUCAGUGUCAGUGAAAAAGAAGAGAAUGAAGGAAAAUAUGAGGGAUAGGUGCUCUGAGGUUAAGCUUCAUGAAAGCGUAACCUGGAAUCAGGACAGAAGUUAGGAAAAGCCAAGAGAAAGAAAAAGAAAACUUGUUCUCUAGAGAAAGGCGAAUGUAGGAGUAACACCGAGUGAAAAGACAGAGAACAACUUGGGUGAGGUGAAGGCGGUAAAGAAAAGCUUGAACUUGAAGAUCAGAAGGAAGGGCCAGGGCAGGAGUCAGAGCCGACAGCACAGUCUCUGUGGGGCAGGAGCAGGGGACAGGAACGGAUGCACGAAGCUCAGCACUGUAAUCCACCUUCCUGAGCUCAAAGGUAAGGGACUUUACUGCAGAUUUCACAGGUAGGCUUAGUCCAACAAGGGGACAAGCGACUCAUGAGGACCAACAACAAAACAUUUCAGUGUAAGACCAAUGAAAUUUCAAGGAACAAAAAGCAAUGGCAAAACCUGUUCAC
rnacentral:lncRNA from 1 species